GGCGCACGGGUGAGUAACACGUGGAUAAUCUCCCAUUGAGUGGGGAAUAACCUUUCGAAAGGAGGGCUAAUACCGCAUAAGACCACAGGAUCUUCGGAUCUAGGGGUCAAAGGGGGGCGUAAGCCUCUCGCUUAAUGAUGAGUCCGCGCCCGAUUAGUUAGUUGGUGAGGUAACGGCUCACCAAGACAUUUAUCGGUAGCUGGUCUGAGAGGAUGACCAGUCACACUGGAACUGAGAUACGGUCCAGACUCCUACGGGAGGCAGCAGUAGGGAAUAUUGCGCAAUGGGCGAAAGCCUGACGCAGCGACGCCGCGUGAGUGAUGAAGGCCUUCGGGUCGUAAAGCUCUGUUGUACGGGAAGAAGUUUGCAGUGCUAAUACCAUUGCAAAUUGACGGUACCGUAUAAGAAAGGACCGGCUAACUUCGUGCCAGCAGCCGCGGUAAGACGAGGGGUCCUAGCGUUGUUCGGAAUCACUGGGCGUAAAGCGUUUGUAGGCGGCUCUAUAAGUCGGGUGUGAAAUCCCACGGCUCAACCGUGGAAGUGCAUUCGAAACUGCAGAGCUUGAAUAUGGUAGAGGAGAGUAGAAUUCCUGGUGUAGUGGUGAAAUACGUAGAUAUCAGGANGAAUACCGGUGGCGNNNNCGGCUCUCUGGACCAAUAUUGACGCUGAGAAACGAAAGUGCGGGGAUCAAACAGGAUUAGAUACCCUGGUAGUCCGCACCGUAAACGAUGAUCACUUGGUGUUGGAGGUAUUGACCCCUUCAGUGCCNAAGCUAACGCGUUAAGUGAUCCGCCUGGGAAGUACGGUCGCAAGGUUAAAACUCAAAGGAAUUGACGGGGACCCGCACAAGCGGUGGAUGAUGUGGAUUAAUNNNAUGCAACGCGAAAAACCUNNNNNNCGCUUGACAUGCCAGAGACCCUGCAGAGAUGUGGGGGUGCCCGAAAGGGAAUCUGGACACAGGUGCUGCAUGGCUGUCGUCAGCUCGUGUCGUGAGAUGUUGGGUUAAGUCCCGCAACGAGCGCAACCCUUGUCCUUAGCUGCUACGCAAGGGCACUCUAAGGAGACUGCCGGUGACAAACCGGAGGAAGGUGGGGAUGACGUCAAGUCCCCAUGGCCCUUAUGUGUAGGGCUUCACACGUCAUACAAUGGUCGGUACAGAGGGUCGCCAACCCGCGAGGGGGAGCCAAUCCCAGAAAGCCGAUCGUAGUCCGGAUUGCACUCUGCAACUCGAGUGCAUGAAGUCGGAAUCGCUAGUAAUCGCGGAUCAGCAUGUCGCGGUGAAUACGUUCCCGGGUCUUGUACACACCGCCCGUCACACCAUGGGAG
rnacentral:rRNA from 1 species